UAGGGAAUCUUCCGCAAUGGACGCAAGUCUGACGGAGCAACGCCGCGUGAGUGAAGAAGGAUUUCGGUUCGUAAAACUCUGUUGUUAGAGAAGAACAGCGCAUAGAGUAACUGUUAUGCGGGUGACGGUAUCUAACCAGAAAGCCACGGCUAACUACGUGCCAGCAGCCGCGGUAAUACGUAGGUGGCAAGCGUUGGCCGGAUUUAUUGGGCGUAAAGCGAGCGCAGGCGGUAAAUUAAGUCUGAUGUGAAAGCCCCCGGCUCAACCGGGGAGGGUCAUUGGAAACUGGUUGACUUGAGUGCAGAAGAGGAGAGUGGAAUUCCAUGUGUAGCGGUGAAAUGCGUAGAUAUAUGGAGGAACACCAGUGGCGAAGGCGACUCUCUGGUCUGUAACUGACGCUGAGGCUCGAAAGCGUGGGUAGCAAACAGG
rnacentral:rRNA from 1 species